rnacentral:rRNA from 1 species
GAUGAACGCUGGCGGCGUGCCUAAUACAUGCAAGUCGAGCGAACCACUUCGGUGGUGAGCGGCGAACGGGUGAGUAACACGUAGGUGAUCUGCCCAUCAGACGGGGACAACGAUUGGAAACGAUCGCUAAUACCGGAUAGGACGAAAGUUUAAAGGUGCUUCUGGCACCGCUGAUGGAUGAGCCUGCGGCGCAUUAGCUAGUUGGUAGGGUAAAGGCCUACCAAGGCGACGAUGCGUAGCCGACCUGAGAGGGUGAACGGCCACACUGGGACUGAGACACGGCCCAGACUCCUACGGGAGGCAGCAGUAGGGAACCUUCGGCAAUGGGCGAAAGCCUGACCGAGCAACGCCGCGUGAAUGAUGAAGGCCUUCGGGUUGUAAAAUUCUGUUAUAAGGGAAGAACGACUUUAGUAGGAAAUGGCUAGAGUGUGACGGUACCUUAUGAGAAAGCCACGGCUAACUACGUGCCAGCCGCCGCCGUAAGAC